rnacentral:tRNA from 1 species
AGGGGUGUAGCUCAGUGGUAGAGCGGCUUGCCUACCAUGCAGGAGGCCCUAGGUUUGAUUUCCAGCACCACCA